CGGUUGAUCCUGCCGGAGGCUAUUGCUAUCAGGGUUUGACUAAGCCAUGCGAGUCGAGAGGUGAAAGACCUCGGCAUACUGCUCAGUAACACGUGGACAAUCUGCCCUCAGGUGAGGAAUAAUCCCGGGAAACUGGGGCUAAUGCCUCAUAGGAGACGGGUGCUGGAAUGCUCUGUCUCUGAAAGGCCCGCCGCCUGAGGAUGAGUCUGCGUCCGAUUAGGUAGUUGUUGGGGUAACGGCCCACCAAGCCUUUGAUCGGUACGGGUUGUGGGAGCAAGAGCCCGGAGAUGGAUUCUGAGACAUGAAUCCAGGCCCUACGGGGCGCAGCAGGCGCGAAAACUUUACAAUGCGAGCAAUCGUGAUAAGGAAACCCUGAGUGCCUGUCAAUGCAGGCUGUUCUGGUGUUUAGUUAGCACCAGGAGAAAGGGCGGGGCAAGACCGGUGCCAGCCGCCGCGGUAAUACCGGCUGCUCGAGUGAUAGCCACUUUUACUGGGCUUAAAGCGUUCGUAGCUUGGUCGUUAAGUCUCUGGGGAAAUUUUUUGGCUCAACCAAAAGACGUCUCAGAGAAACUGGCGACCUUGGGACCGGGAGAGGUAAGACGUACUUCGGGGGUAGGAGUGAAAUCUUGUAAUCCCCGAGGGACGACCGAUGGCGAAGGCAUCUUACCAGAACGGCUCCGACAGUGAGGGACGAAAGCUGGGGGAGCAAACCGGAUUAGAUACCCGGGUAGUCCCAGCCGUAAACGAUGUGCGUUAGGUGUGUCAGUGACCACGAGUCACUGAGGUGCCGAAGGGAAACCGUGAAACGCACCGCCUGGGAAGUACGGUCGCAAGGCUGAAACUUAAAGGAAUUGGCGGGGGAGCAC
rnacentral:rRNA from 1 species